UUAGCAUAUCAAUAAGCGGAGGAAAAGAAACUAACAAGGAUUCCCCUAGUAACUGCGAGUGAAGCGGGAAAAGCUCAAAUUUAAAAUCUGGCGGUCUUUGGCCGUCCGAGUUGUAGUCUGGAGAAGUGCUUUCCGCGCUGGACCGUGUACAAGUCUCUUGGAACAGAGCGUCAUAGAGGGUGAGAAUCCCGUCUUUGACACGGACUACCAGUGCUUUGUGAUGCGCUCUCAAAGAGUCGAGUUGUUUGGGAAUGCAGCUCAAAAUGGGUGGUAAAUUCCAUCUAAAGCUAAAUAUUGGCGAGAGACCGAUAGCGAACAAGUACCGUGAGGGAAAGAUGAAAAGCACUUUGGAAAGAGAGUUAAACAGUACGUGAAAUUGCUGAAAGGGAAACGCUUGAAGUCAGUCGCGUCGGCCAGGACUCAGCCUUGCUUUUUUGCUUGGUGCAYUUUCUGGUUGACGGGCCAGCAUCGAUUUUGACCGCUGGAAAAAGGCCAGGGGAAUGUGGCACCUUCGGGUGUGUUAUAGCCCUUAGUCACAUACAGUGGUUGGGAUCGAGGACCGCAGCACGCCUUUAUGGCCGGGGUUCGCCCACGUUCGUGCUUAGGAUGCUGGCGUAAUGGCUUUAAACGACCCGUCUUGAAACACGGACCAAGGAGUCUAACAUGCCUGCGAGUGUUUGGGUGGAAAACCCGAGCGCGUAAUGAAAGUGAAAGUUGAGAUCCCUGUCGUGGGGAGCAUCGACGCCCGGACCUGAACUUCGGUGAUGGAUCUGCGGUAGAGCAUGUAUGUUGGGACCCGAAAGAUGGUGAACUAUGCCUGAAUAGGGUGAAGCCAGAGGAAACUCUGGUGGAGGCUCGUAGCGAUUCUGACGUGCAAAUCGAUCGUCAAAUUUGGGUAUAGGGGCGAAAGACUAAUCGAACCAUCUAGUAGCUGGUUCCUGCC
rnacentral:rRNA from 1 species